UGGGGAAUUUUGGACAAUGGGCGAAAGCCUGAUCCAGCCAUGCCGCGUGAGUGAAGAAGGCCUUCGGGUUGUAAAGCUCUUUUAGUCGGAAAGAAAGAGUCGCAAUGAAUAAUUGUGAUUUAUGACGGUACCGACAGAAAAAGCACCGGCUAACUACGUGCCAGCAGCCGCGGUAAUACGUAGGGUGCGAGCGUUAAUCGGAAUUACUGGGCGUAAAGGGUGCGCAGGCGGUCUUGCAAGUCAGAUGUGAAAGCCCCGGGCUUAACCUGGGAAUUGCGUUUGAAACUACAAGACUAGAGUGCAGCAGAGGGGAGUGGAAUUCCAUGUGUAGCAGUGAAAUGCGUAGAGAUGUGGAAGAACACCGAUGGCGAAGGCAGCUCCCUGGGUUGACACUGACGCUCAUGCACGAAAGCGUGGGGAGCAAACA
rnacentral:rRNA from 1 species